UACGAGGAGCCCAAGCGUUAUCCGGAUUUACUGGGCGUAAAGGGUGUGUAGGCGGUUUAGUUAGUCCUGUUUUAAAUCUCCGUGCUUAACAUGGAGGCUGGAUGGGAAACGGCUAAACUUGGAUGAUACCGGAGGCAAGCGGAACUCACGGUGUAGGGGUGAAAUCCGUUGAUAUCGUGGGGAACACCAAAGGCGAAGGCAGCUUGCUGGGGUAUUCAUGACGCUGAAACACGAAAGCGUGGGGAUCAAAAAGG
rnacentral:rRNA from 1 species